rnacentral:rRNA from 1 species
ACGGGUGAGUAACGCGUGGGAACGUGCCCUUCGGUUCGGAAUAACUCAGGGAAACUUGAGCUAAUACCGGAUACGCCCUUAUGGGAAAAGGCUUGACUGCCGAAGGAUCGGCCCGCGUCUGAUUAGCUUGUUGGUGAGGUUACGGCUCACCAAGGCGACGAUCAGUAGCUGGUCUGAGAGGAUGAUCAGCCACACUGGGACUGAGACACGGCCCAGACUCCUACGGGAGGCAGCAGUGGGGAAUAUUGGACAAUGGGGGCAACCCUGAUCCAGCCAUGCCGCGUGAGUGAUGACGGCCUUAGGGUUGUAAAGCUCUUUUCUCCGGGACGAUAAUGACGGUACCGGAGGAAUAAGCCCCGGCUAACUUCGUGCCAGCAGCCGCGGUAAUACGAAGGGGGCUAGCGUUGCUCGGAAUCACUGGGCGUAAAGGGCGCGUAGGCGGCUGAUUUAGUCGAGGGUGAAAGCCCGUGGCUCAACCACGGAAUGGCCUUCGAUACUGGUUGGCUUGAGACCGGAAGAGGACAGCGGAACUGCGAGUGUAGAGGUGAAAUUCGUAGA